rnacentral:rRNA from 1 species
AGCAGCCGCGGUAAUUCCAGCUCCAAUAGCGUAUAUUAAAGUUGCUGCAGUUAAAAAGCUCGUAGUUGAAUUUCGGGAUCAAUAUGUUGGUCGUGCCUCGGUACGUACUAGCUUAUUGGUUUCUCCCUUCUGACGAACCAUGAUGUCAUUUAUUUGGUGUUAUGGGAAAUCAGGACUGUUACUUUGAAAAAAUUAGAGUGUUUAAAGCAGGCUCACGCUUGAAUACAUUAGCAUGGAAUAAUGAAAUAGGACGUUUGAUUCUAUUUUGUUGGUUUCUAGGAUCGACGUAAUGAUUAAUAGGGAUAGUUGGGGGCAUUAGUAUUCAAUUGUCAGAGGUGAAAUUCUUGGAUUUAUUGAAGACUAACUACUGCGAAAGCAUUUGCCAAGGAUGUUUUCAUUAAUCAAGAACGAAAGUUAGGGGAUCGAAGACGAUCAGAUACCGUCGUAGUCUUAACCAUAAACUAUGCCGACUAGGGAUCGGAUGAUGUUAAU